GCAUGGCUGAAUUCUGCCUCAGCUGGCCUGUGCUGGAGACAGUCAGACACCAUGCAAAAGCCAAGCCUCAUUUCUGCCUAAUGAUUGGUGGACAGAUGCUCCAAACCAGCGCUGUUCAGCUACACAGAAAUGAGUACAUAC
rnacentral:snoRNA from 1 species